rnacentral:rRNA from 1 species
UACGUAGGGUGCAAGCGUUGUCCGGAAUUAUUGGGCGUAAAGAGCUCGUAGGUGGUUUGUCGCGUUGUUCGUGAAAACUCACAGCUUAACUGUGGGCGUGCGGGCGAUACGGGCAGACUUGAGUACUGCAGGGGAGACUGGAAUUCCUGGUGUAGCGGUGGAAUGCGCAGAUAUCAGGAGGAACACCGGUGGCGAAGGCGGGUCUCUGGGCAGUAACUGACGCUGAGACGCGAAAGCGUGGGGAGCGAACAGG